GUAAAUUAGGCGGCCAUGGCGAAUCUCGGCAAGAUUUUACCCCAGUGAAAAAGGCUUGUAAUCCACCUUUCCUCAACCUGGAAGAUAUGUUUUGUUCCUAACCAUCUAUAAUCCAUUCUCUAUGAAGUGAAGCCUGGCUGCUGGUCUUCCUUUGGAAAUACACAGGGAAAGAAAACUACUUGAGUGUUUCUAAUACCCCCCAGAGAUCUGCUUGUGAGUGCAUGGGGAUUGCGGUGGACCUUCUCUCCUGUUUAAACAGACUUUAGAGUAUGACAGAUAAAAGGUACUUUUUUUUCUUUAUUUUACAUCACAUGAAAACACACAAUUAAUGAUGAUGAUGAAGAAUGUACACAUGUUUUUCAUAAGUGUGUACAAAUUGUUCAAUAUAAUGUCUAUAAUGAAUCCAAUUUCCUCCUGCUAGUCCACAGGUAAUCUUGUAAGGAAAAGCAUAAGUCUGGUAAGGUAAACUUUCCCCCAUUUCUUGUAAACAGGCUUGAAACCAUUGCUCUCUGUUUUGUGGGGUAUCCUGAUAAGUGGAAAUUCUUUUAGGUCGGUGACUUGCUUUUCCAUAAUCCCAUUGAGCUAGUAAACAAAUGACCACAGGGGUUUGUGAGGGAAACACCUUAAUAGUGCCUGGAAUUCCUCUAUCUUCUUCUACGGCUAAAUUUCUAGUCCCUAGAGGUCUGCGAGUGGCAUAGAGAUUAGCUUGUGGGAAUUUCUC